GACGAACGCUGGCGGCGUGCCUAACACAUGCAAGUCGAGCGGGGACCGAGGUGCUUGCACCUUGGUUCUAGCGGCGGACGGGUGAGUAACGCGUGAGCAACCUGCCUCAAACUGGGGGAUAACGCAUCGAAAGAUGUGCUAAUACCGCGUAAGACCACGCUACCACAUGGUAGAGGGGUCAAAGGAGCAAUCCGGUUUGAGAUGGGCUCGCGUCUGAUUAGCUAGUUGGCGGGAUAACAGCCCACCAAGGCGACGAUCGGUAGCCGACCUGAGAGGGUGAUCGGCCACAUUGGAACUGAGAUACGGUCCAGACUCCUACGGGAGGCAGCAGUGGGGAAUAUUGCGCAAUGGGGGCAACCCUGACGCAGCAACGCCGCGUGAAGGAUGAAGGUCUUCGGAUCGUAAACUUUGUCUUAUGGAAGAACAAGGACGGUACCAUAGGAGGAAGCCACGGCUAACUACGUG
rnacentral:rRNA from 1 species